rnacentral:rRNA from 1 species
AACGAUGUCAACUAGUUGUCGGGUCUUAACGGGCUUGGUAACGUAGCUAACGCGUGAAGUUGACCGCCUGGGGAGUACGAUCGCAAGAUUAAAACUCAAAGGAAUUGACGGGGACCCGCACAAGCGGUGGAUUAUGUGGAUUAAUUCGAUGCAACGCGAAAAACCUUACCUACCCUUGACAUGUAUUGAAACCCGCAGAGAUGUGGGUGUGCCCGAAAGGGAACGAUAACACAGGUGCUGCAUGGCUGUCGUCAGCUCGUGUCGUGAGAUGUUGGGUUAAGUCCCGCAACGAGCGCAACCCUUGUCAUUAGUUGCCAUCAUUUAGUUGGGCACUUUAAUGAGACUGCCGGUGACAAACCGGAGGAAGGUGGGGAUGACGUCAAGUCCUCAUGGCCCUUAUGGGUAGGGCUUCACACGUAAUACAAUGGCGCGUACAGAGGGUUGCCAACCCGCAAGGGGGAGCUAAUCUCAGAAAGCGCGUCGUAGUCCGGAUCGGAGUCUGCAACUCGACUCCGUGAAGUCGGAAUCGCUAGUAAUCGCGGAUCAGCAUGUCGCGGUGAAUACGUUCCCGGGUCUUGUACACACCGCCCGUCACACCAUGGGAGUGGGUUCCACCAGAAGCAGGUAGUCUAACCGCAAGGAGGGCGCUUGCCACGGUGAGAUUCAUGACUGGGGUGAAGUCGUAACAAGGUAACCGUA